rnacentral:misc_RNA from 1 species
GAUGAAGAACGUAGCGAAAUGCGUUAAGUAAUGCGAAUUGCAGAAUUUCCGUGAGUCAUCGAAUCUUUGAACGCACAUUGCGCCCACUGGUAUUCCGGUGGGCAUGCCUGUUCGAGCGUCAUUAUCCUCCCUCAAACCCCGGGUUUGGUGUUGGACCCAAGUUGUGUGAACAACUGGUCUCAAAGACAAUGACGGCGUCCGUGGGACCCUCGGUGCAACGAGCUUUUAGGAGCACGCAUCGAGUUGCAAGGACCUUCCGGGCCGGUCUCCUUUACCAUUUUACAAGGUUGACCUCGGAUCAGGUAGGAAUACCCGCUGAACUUAAGCAUAUCAAUAAGCGGAGGA